rnacentral:rRNA from 1 species
ACGCACGUGUGAAACUUGAAGGAAUUGACGGAAGGGCACCACAAGAACGCGUGGAGCAUGUGGCUUAAUUUGACUCAACGCGGGAAAUCUUACCGGGUCCGGACACACUGAGGAUUGACAGGCAAUAUUAGCAAUUCAUUCGGUCUCUCGGGGCUGUUUUGUGUUGUUAUGUUAAAUAUGCUAGUCCUUUCAUGAUUAUGUGAUAGGUGGUGCAUGGCCGUUCUUAGUUCGUGGAGUGAUCUGUCUGCUUAAUUGCGUUUCACUAAGGGCCUAUUAUUUAACGUGUGUUGCGGCACUUUUGACCCCUCUUCGGUGCGCGCGUCUUAGUUUGUUUAGCUCGCACAAUUAGGUC